UAACAUUUCAGUCCGAUAAAAAUAAAUAAAUAAAUAAAUAAAAAGUUGUGCUAACACGAAAACGAAUAGCUGCUAAUGUUACCAGAAUUGUAAGCUGUUUAACGUUAUCAGUUUGCCAACGGUUAACGUUAAGCAUUACAUGUUUCCGUUUAAUAUUUUUAAUGGUCAAUAUUUUCAAAUUCUGUUUGCAUUUUGUACUGACAUUCUUCUAAAUAUCUUCCUUUCUGUUCAGCAGAAGAAAGAAAUUCAUACAGGUUUGAAACAACAUAAGGGUGAGUAUAUGAUGACAGAACUUUCAUUUGUUCGGUGGAGUAUCUCUUUAAGGGAUCUACAGACUUGCUGCACUUGUUAGCUGAUUAUCCCUCGCAGAUUGUAAUCUUAAUGUAUUUCAGGUAACUAUUUCAUGAAGUAGGGUUGUAAUGAAGCCCAAUGUUGAAAAGAGUAGGUGAUCCUAAACUGUUGGUAGAGUAGAUGUGUAACCUCUUUGUUAAGUGACUUGAUAAUGUCUUAUUGAUGACCUGUCUUUUUGGCAGACCACAGAUCUAACUUAUAGAAGGUCUGCUGUUCUUCGUGGUCUUCCCCUGUACUUGAGAGAGAGCCAGCUUCAAUUUCAAAGACUAUUAAGGAUACUGAGGCACUGGGGCCACACACAAAGGCCAUGAAAAUGGGGAUCCUGGAAGUGACUGACAGUUCUAUCAACUCAGGACCAUAUCCCACAGUGGUCAAUGUGGCUGUAGUACUGGAGGAGAAAGUUGUCAUGGACAAUCUGGGAGACUUCACAAAAGAGUGCACAGCAAGGAUACAGUCCUUGAAAAACAAGUUAUUACAGGUGUAAUGGUCAUUACAUGUCAGUCAUUGAGGUAUUUUGAGGUAUCAAAGGUUUCAUGCAAAAGUUUCUGUUAAUGCCAGUGACUUUUUUUUGUUGAAUUUUUGUAACUGCUCAGGAACUUGUUGAUUACUUUUUUCAAAUGUUUACAGGCAAAGCUGUUGUCAUGUUUUACUGAGUUUCAUUUUGUAAAGCAGAUAUUUGUUUUUCCAGUACAGCUAUUGACUAAGAGUGAUAUGUCAUGCUUUCUUGAACUCUCAGAUCUUGUUUCGGCUCUGGUUGAAUACUUGUGUAAUAUUUUACUUAAGCCUAACAGGCAAGUUCAUAUGUAUUUAAAUAAAUACAUAAAAUGUUCUUUAUCUC